AGAAAAGGAAACCCUGGGUUUUCGUAUCCAACUUUGACUGUCCGUCUUAUAUGAAAUUUUUUUAUAAUUCGUAUUUUCAUAGUUGUUAUCAUUAUUGUUAGAUGAUAAAAUAUGGUUAAUAUUUUAUGCGUGACUUGUCUUUUUUAUCUUUUUCGUAAUUUUUUUAAAUAAGACGAAUGGUCAAACGUUGGACACGGAAACCAGGGUUUCUCUUUUU
rfam:Oryza rufipogon genomic scaffold, chr06